UGUUACUGUUCUUGAGUUACAUGCAUUUAUGCUUCAUUAUUAUAAAAUGGAAAAAUUUUUCAAAUCUAUGGUGGAUCGGACAAACUUUUUUAUACGGAUUAUAUUUAUUUAGAUAUGAUUUAAAAACUUCAGAAAAGGUUGAGAAGCAUUUUAAUUUUAGGAGAUUCCAACCUGAAGCAAGUUGUACCAAUGGAAAUGAUGGAAGACCCAGUUAGAAUACUGUGCAUACCUGGGGCUACAAUUAAAAUCAAAGAUGACCUAUGCUGAAGUGGUGAGACUUCCUAUGCAUGUAACAGGAGACCAAACUUAGACCACCUUUGAUAUAAAGGUAUGAAAAUGAUGUCUAUUAUUAUAAGAAUGAAUGGAAUAUAUUCCGGUUGAAUGUCACUUUUUGUUUUUUAUAUCCCCUAGUCCCUACAAACAAAGUUUUGGGAUAUACAUAGAAAUCCCUAUAUCAUCCAUCUGUAUGUCCAUAAUUUUUGCAAGUGCAACCCCUCAGAACUGCUGAAAUUGAUGACAUUACACAGCAAAAAACAUUGGGUUUUCUUAUCAGCGAGGUGUAUAGGCGAGUUAGGAUAGUCGAGUUAUGAAGGGCAAGUUAUGACAGACGAGUUGCAAGUAACAAAAAUAUUAUGUUUCUCUAAUUUCUUAAGAAUUAUAUAUACAGCGAGUCUUAAAACGGUUGUGGCGUCUGAUUUUUUAAACAGAAUUUUUAGAUUUACUUUACAUUUAAUAAACAAAGUAUAGAUCUACCCAAGCUUAGUUAUACAUUACAUGAGGAAGGGUCCCGGUAUUUUGAUUGCAGGAUUUGAAAAAGUUAUGUGAUAAUUAUUUAUAAGAGGCUAUAUGUUCAAUGUUAGAAAGUAAUGCACCCAUAAAAUUCUUUAAUGAGAGUGACAUUGUUCAUUUUCUAAAAUAAAACGGGAUAAACUGUAGAUACAAGACAAAAUGUAUACUGUUCUGAACAAAUCAAGCAUAAGAAAAUUAAUUAUGUAGACAAAUAAAAUAUACUUGCAAAUUGCCAGAACAAAUAUUGCUCUACUCUACAGCUGCCCCAAAAAGCCCACUCUUAACGAAAUUUGCAGCAGAAGAGAUCUUUUACAUAUAUGUGCUAUAGUUUUAGUUACUAUCUCUCUUUACGUUUAAAAUGACACUGACAGUGUUGUCUUAUCCGGGCCUUUUAUAGCUGACUAUGCGGUAUGGGCUUUGCUCAUUGUUGAAGGCCGUACGGUGACCUAUAGUUGUUAAUGUCUGUGUCAUUUUGGUCUUUUGUGGAUAGUUGUCUCAUUGGCAAUCAUACCACAUCGUCUUUUUUAUAUUGGCUAUGAAUUUAAUGAUAAUGAUGAUAAUUAAACUACAAGCCAUCCGCAGUAUUUCAAAAGGCUAUCUGUUUCUGCAGAAAAUAAACAUACUUUGUGUAGAGAUUACAUUUUUAUUACACGAAUCAACAAUACUGUAUACAAUUCUAUAAGCAAUCAUCAUUCAAAAAUGUUUAAGAGAUACACAAAAAAAAUAUGAAAAUAGUUUUCCCCAUUUUCAAGCAUUUUGACUUUCGUAACUCGAAAUAAAGAUUUUUAAUAAAUAUAAAAAUAAUAGUGCUGGAUGGGGGAUUUGUGUGAGUUGACUUGCAGUUCUAGUUUAUUCAGGUUACACACGUUUCUUAUUUGUAAAUGCAGUUUUUAUGUGAAGUGUAGAUAUCACAUGAAUGAAUACUAAUAUCGUAAAAUAUAUCAUAUUUUUGUUAUUGGUUAAUAAAGUUCAUUUUAUUGGAAUUUUGUUUCCAGUGUAUAGAAAUGAAGAAACCAAUGGGAGCCCCUGCCAAAAGGAGGAGUGUGUCUUCAGUUGAGAUUGGUAGAAAAAAAGAAAAAAAAACAGUUUACCUACAUUAGAAUUUUAAUAAUUUUGCAAUUAAACCUUAAAAUGUGUAUUUCUGAACCCCUUUAUACUUUUUACUGGAAAAUCCCUUACAACAAUGCAUGCUGUUAUUGUUUUGUAAGUCUAGAAACAUGGCCCUAUUACAGAAGAUGCAUCUAUUUUUCAAGAGGAAUUAUAUGAUAUUGAAAUUAGACAGAUAUGCAAGUUACAUGUAAAAAGUAAAGUAACAAAAAUAUGGAACUCUGAGGAAAAUUAAAAAUGUAAUAGCGAAAUUAAAAGCUGAAAUACAUCAAGCAAAAAGAAAACAACUGUCAUAUUCCUGACUAAGUGCAGUC
rnacentral:lncRNA from 1 species